AUGCGGCUUAGUUAGGGGGCACACAGAAAUUGGAACCAAAUUAACGUUUGCUUCCGUCUAAGAGAGGCCUUUUGAAGGGGCUCUGCGUUCUCUCUUCAGUUGUCCCUCAAGCAGCCUUUCACAUUU